ensembl:lncRNA
CCCGCCCCAUCCCCUGAAUGGAGCUUGAUCAGAACCCUUAUCUUCAUGGCUUUACUCUUAAGGUGAAGGCCUUGUGUUCAACUCCCUCUUCCUCUCUCUCUUCCUUCUGGGUUAUCCCUCCUUGCCCUCGUGGGAUGAUUGCGUUAUUGAGAUAGGAAGUGCUCAAACCGACAGUAGAAAGACCCCAGCCUGAAGAUGUUGUGGUAUGUUUGGACAUGAUUGGCGUGGCAUGGUUUAUCUCGCUCACAUUCAAACAACGGUGGACACUGGGGGACGAUUAAAGCAAGGCAGUCACUAUCAUCGCUCCCCUACUGCACCCAUCUCGUUUUGAUCGUUUAGUGUCGUUCACAAACAACGCGGCGCGGCGAUAGAUAAACCGCUAAAUCAACCCCUGCAUUUCACAUGCGAUUGACUCAUUUACUGUGGUCCACGCGCCGUCAAACAACACGACACCGCGCUGCGUUCUGCAGGUACCAGGCGCCACGUAAUUGAUGUGCUGUGAUUUACCAAAUAGAUCCCAUCAGGAGGAACGAGUCGAGCACGCCAGGCAGGUGUGGCCCGUCUGUGGGUUUAACACGAGCACAGUCACCAAACGCAAAGCCUGUCAGCCAAGACCACCAGUGUCUGUUAUGAGAGUUUGAACGCACGUCAAGCCCGUGUGAUUACAACGCACAUUAACCGCUUUGUUGACUCAAAUUUCCCUCAGACACCCGACGACUGAUGGAAUUAAACGUUUAACGUUUAAUGUCAUUCCCAUUCGAAAAUGUGUUUGGUUAUUCGCAGAGAGCGUAAUUAUCCUUGCGUGAAUCAUCUAAAUUUUUCUCUCCCUCUCUAUUUCCCUUUAUAUUCACGGUACACGUUCAUCAUAGUUUCAUGAUAAAUGUAAAUAUUUUUGCCUUUUGAUUUCAUGUUUUUGUUUCAAUGGUCACUUCUAUAGGUUCCCCUCUCUCUCAGUAUAUGCAGAUGUGGCAGCAGCUCCCAGCCAUAGCCAGUUAUAGCCCUGUGUGCCGGCGUGGGAAGCAAAAUAAAAAAGAGGAAAAUAAAACGAGGCAUGGUGUGAUGUACCAUUGCACCCUGUAUAAGGGAGCUUGCCUUGGUACAGAUAAUGGACUGAAAAAAACGGUUAAAAAUACGUUGAAAAAGAUUAUGGGCCAGAGGUUACGCAGACCUUAUCAGCUGACCAACGAGAUCAUCUGGAGAUGUGCUCAGGUGUGCGUUGAGUCAUCGCCUCGACUUUGGGUCCUUUAUUAGCGCAAACGCAUUGCUUUCAUUUAGCCCACCGCGCUAACCUACAAACAGCCCCCUGACGUAUAGAUAAGUGCAACCAGCUGUUCUACUGAAGCGGAUCCGUGUUGCGCAUUAGGGCUGCUUAAUAUUCCGAGGAGGAUAUAGCCUCCGUGCGAUGGGAUGAAGGGGUCAUCCCAGUGCCCGCCUGUGUCUCCUCUGUGGGAAGACGGAUGAAACAUCUGCUAAGCAGCCAGGACAUAAAGCGGUAAUAAAUGUCACAAUAAUGGCUCCAUUUAAAAACAAGGUAUCAUCCAGCAAACAAGUACCUAUAAGUGGUCCAACUGAGGCUGGAGAGAGAGAUUAUUUAAAUAUUUUAAGCUCGGCUAGGCUGAGACAAAGUUAUUGGCUGGAUGGCUGUUGGGUUCUGUGCUGGUUAUUAUUCACCAAACUGUUCCUACAUUCUGUUAUAAAUACAAAAUUUAAACUUUGGAUUAGUAUGUUUAUGAAAUUGUUUACAAGGCCCUAUAGCGUCAAUGAGCAGUGUGAUUGUGUCUUACAUGGAUUGGUGGACGGUCACUAUAAGAUGACCCAGUCACCUGCUGACGACACACCUCUAGAACCAACCCUACUGGUUGAACAAAUGAACACAUGCAAUCAGGAGGCAUGUUUACUGAACUUGUUGAACUGAAACCACGCUGCCUUCCUGGGUAACACUUUGCAUUAUUUAAUUAGUUCAUUAACAUGAGUCAAUGCAAUAAUAAACGUUAACAGGUAAUUAACGGUUAACUAACAGUUAAUUAAUGGUUAACUAAUGGUCUAGCAAUUUACUGAUGUGUUUAUUUUUACUAAUGUUGUUCAUGUCAACUCAGGUAAUGGUGUUUAUGUUAAAGCUAUAACAUACCCUGACUGUAAAUGAUAACCCUUCCUGAAGGCUAUGUGUGCGCGCACACUCGCCGCACAAACACACACACACACACACACACACACACACACACACACACACACACACACACACAAACACACUAAUUAGCAAGUUAAAUGUAUAUUUUGUCAUGUUCGACAAAAUACAAACUAAAGUCUGAGAUCACAGUGCGCUUGAUUGAGAUAAAUGAGCACAAAAGAAGGGAAACACGAAGACAAGUCUCCCAUGUCAAACACAUCAUUCGACAAUGACUGAAGAGGUGUAGGCGAGCCCAUCAAUGCUAAUCUCAACCGCUGAGGUCAAAGUUCCAGCGGAUGUCAGAGGUCAGCACUAGGGGAGGAUAUCGGCAUUGAUUUCAGCUGCAGUAGUGAUUGCUUGGAAGAAAUCUGGACACUCUUGGCCCACCGUGACACAUCAAAUGCCACUGUUGGUAAAGGAUGUGGUUGUGCUGCUGCUGAUCAAAGGCAGAUUACAGAGUACCAAAAUCCCAAAAAUGUGGUUAUGACUAAACCAAGCCCAGUACAUUUUUACCCACAACAUAUUGGCUUUGAUCUGAUUUUCAAUGACUAAGAAAUGUAAAUUUUUUGUUCUUCUGAAUAGGGAUAAUGAUUGCUUGGUAAUCAUCGAAUGAACUGUAUUCAUUCUCCGACCGAUAUUUGUAUAGGGUUAAGAGUCAUUCAUAAUGGAAUCUGCUAAAGAAUAUCCUAACGUUUAUAACACAUUGUAGAUCAUGAAACUGCACACAACUGCAUUUUGUAAACACUGCCUCGAUCCAAACAGUUUUCCCUGUAGCACUGCACGGUACGUUUUCUUUCAAUGAAAUAAGCCUGAUGUACCGUGAACACUGAAUAAAUACCUUUGAUUCCCAG